rnacentral:rRNA from 1 species
CCUACGGGAGGCAGCAGUGAGGAAUAUUGGUCAAUGGACGAGAGUCUGAACCAGCCAAGUAGCGUGAAGGAUGACUGCCCCAUGGGUUGUAAACUUCUUUUAUAUGGGAAUAAAACGUUCCACGUGUGGGAUUUUGUAUGUACCAUCUGAAUAAGGAUCGGCUAACUCCGUGCCAGCAGCCGCGGUAAUACGGAGGAUCCGAGCGUUAUCCGGAUUUAUUGGGUUUAAAGGGAGCGUAGGUGGAUUGUUAAGUCAGUUGUGAAAGUUUGCGGCUCAACCGUAAAAUUGCAGUUGAAACUGGCAGUCUUGAGUACAGUAGAGGUGGGCGGAAUUCGUGGUGUAGCGGUGAAAUGCUUAGAUAUCACGAAGAACUCCGAUUGCGAAGGCAGUUCACUGGACUGCAACUGACACUGAGGCUCGAAAGUGUGGGUAUCAAACAGGAUUAGAUACCCGGGUAGUC